rnacentral:rRNA from 1 species
AUUGAACGCUGGCGGCAGGCCUAACACAUGCAAGUCGAGCGGAUGAAGGGAGCUUGCUCCUGGAUUCAGCGGCGGACGGGUGAGUAAUGCCUAGGAAUCUGCCUGGUAGUGGGGGAUAACGUCCGGAAACGGGCGCUAAUACCGCAUACGUCCUGAGGGAGAAAGUGGGGGAUCUUCGGACCUCGCGCUAUCAGAUGAGCCUAGGUCGGAUUAGCUAGUUGGUGGGGUAAAGGCCUACCAAGGCGACGAUCCGUAACUGGUCUGAGAGGAUGAUCAGUCACACUGGAACUGAGACACGGUCCAGACUCCUACGGGAGGCAGCAGUGGGGAAUAUUAGACAAUGGGCGAAAGCCUGAUCCAGCCAUGCCGCGUGUGUGAAGAAGGUCUUCGGAUUGUAAAGCACUUUAAGUUGGGAGGAAGGGCAGUAAGUUAAUACCUUGCUGUUUUGACGGUACCAACAGAAUAAGCACCGGCUAACUUCGUG